AUGUACAUGCCUACAACAAAACAUUAAUGCACUAGAUCCCAUUAGAACUCCACAGUUAAGCGUGCUCGGGCUAGAGUAGUAUUGGGAAGGGUCAUUGCCCGAGAAGUGCUAGUGUUUUACAUG
rfam:Picea glauca, whole genome shotgun sequence.